AACACUGUUAACCUGCGGUACCUGCGGAAGGAUCAUUACAGAGUGUUUAACCCCCUAUAAAAUGGUGGGUCUAACCUCCCGUCCUUUGCUGGGUCCCCCUUCUGGAGGACUUUCAAAACUUUCUGCUUCGGCGGGGUAUACCCGCCGGAACACCCUCAAAAAAUUCUCGAUCAAAAUGGUUCGGUCCGAGAAACUUUUUGUGAAAAUUAGCGAAAAACUUUCAACAACGGAUCUCAGAUC
rnacentral:misc_RNA from 1 species